CCGCGGGUCCGGGGCUGAGGACUGGGUUCCCCUUCUCCCCAGCUGUCAGAGACAGGUCGGGAGGCGGGGCGCGGCCGAUCAGUGCUGUCCGCACAAAGAGGGCUCGGCCCGGGUUCCCAGCCUAUACCUGUGCCAAGAUAGAAAUGGACCGCCCUGCUGUUGCUGCAGCCGGGAGUUGGAGUGUUCCUGUGGUCCCGGAUUUCGGCAUUCUCAAGUGGCGACAAGUUUCUCAAACCAGACUCACAUCAGGAGCAGAUUCUUCCAGCCUCCGAACACCUGAGUGACCAAAAAAAUGUUGACAGAGCUUGCUUUAAAGCCAUUACUAUCUGGCCAGCCCCUGGAAUUGAUGUACCUCCUGAACUCCUGCAGCUACAAUUAUUCUUUUUGUUAUGAUUAGGGGAAGCACCAGGACACCAUACCAGACUUCCUGUGAUACCAUGCUGGAUGGUGACUCCCAGCCAAAAUUGAGUCUUUAGGUCACUGUUCUAAAGACAAAUUGUACACAGCUCCCUCCCCCUCUGAAAGCCACUUCACUCUCUGUACUUUAUUCCCAGAAUUUCCCCCUCAGUUUUGUUUAUGAAUGCCUACUAUGAGCCAGGCAUUCAAGGCAUUGUGAUUUGCCAUCCUCAUACUUUGUGAUGAAUCAGAAAAAUUAGGUAACCUACCCCAGGUCACACAAAUCAGAGGUUUAUUGAUUAUUUGAGAUUUUGAAUUUCUAUCUUUCCACUCUGUCAAGUGGCCACAGUCAAAUCAUGUUAAAAUAAAUCUCUUGACAACUUCAGAUGCAGUUAUGAAAAAUACCUUUCAUGAAAAUCUGUACAUUACAAACAUAGGAAACAUGUAUUUUAAGGAACUCUAUAAAAGGAAAGACGUGGCACUCCCUUGG